GGCUUCACUGUUAAGAUCCAGGCACCGGGAACAGAGCCCUUUGACUUGCAGGUAUCUCCCCAGGAAAUGGUACAGGAGAUCCAUCAGGUGUUGAUGGACCGCGAGGACACCUGCCACCGCACUUGCUUCUCCCUGCAGCUGGAUGGGAACGUGCUGGACAACUUUGCUGAGCUCAAAUCCAUCGAGGGCCUGCAGGAGGGCUCACUGCUCAAAGUGGUAGAAGAGCCCUACACAGUGCGCGAGGCCCGAUCCAUGUGCGUCACAUCAGAGACCUGCUGAAAAGUCUGGACCCCUCAACGCCUACAACGGAGUGGACUGCAACUCCCUCUCUUUCCUCAGCAUCUUCACGGACG